AACGAACGCUGGCGGCAUGCCUAACACAUGCAAGUCGAACGAAGGCUUCGGCCUUAGUGGCGCACGGGUGAGUAACGCGUGGGAACCUGCCCUUUGGUACGGAAUAACAUCGGGAAACUGAUGCUAAUACCGUAUAUGGCUUUGGCUGAAAGAUUUAUCGCCGAAGGAGGGGCCCGCGUCUGAUUAGCUAGUUGGUGAGGUGAUGGCUCACCAAGGCGACGAUCAGUAGCUGGUCUGAGAGGAUGAUCAGCCACACUGGGACAGAGACACGGCCCAGACUCCUACGGGGGGCAGCAGUGGGGAAUAUUGGACAAUGGGGGCAACCCUGAUCCAGCAAUGCCGCGUGAGUGAUGAAGGCCUUCGGGUUGUAAAGCUCUUUUGGCAGGGACGAUGAUGACGGUACCUGCAGAAUAAGCCCCGGCUAACUUCGUGCCAGCCGCCGCGGUAAGAC
rnacentral:rRNA from 1 species